CUCUAGCGUACAACAACAAAACAAAAUGGAGGUCUUUGAUGUGUGUGUCGCGUUGUCUUAAAAUUUGCUGCUAGAAUUUUGCGUUAAACGCUGUGAGCGAAUGUGUUUCACUGCGAAUAUGUCAAAGGUCGGCCAUGAAGUGCGCGAAACACGAAACACGAAUGACUUUUACCCUAUAAAAGCAACAACAAGACGUUAAAUUGCACACCAGUUGUAAUUAAGUUUAGUAGUUAGAACCCACAACCAACUAAUAUAUAAUCAUACUCGAUAAGGCGUGAGACCAGACUCACGGGGUAUAAGGUGGGCAUUGGGGAACGAACAUCCGCACCCCUGAGAAGUGAAACUUCUCCGCACUUGUCUGGCUCUCAGUCAUCGACUACCUACCUAUAGGCAUUCGACAUUUUGACAACGGCCACGCGCAGAAAGCAGCAUCAAAAUUAAGCCAAUUGACGACCAAAUCUGCAACGCAGCGGCGUCGUCGCGUCCUUCGACGCGUAACGGACAUUUCUGUGUGCGCUGCGUUUAAAAAAUCUGAUGGAUGGAAAUGCACAAAAUAUGUUUCACGGAAAUCAUCAAGGAGAUCCCUAUUACCGUUACGAUGCGGCAGCCGCCGCAGCAGCCGCAGCCGCGGCGAACCCGCGUGCAAUGGGACCGCCUGGCGGCUAUCCGCCGCGCCACCGCCCCCCACAUCCGUUACAGCAGCAGCCCCAAUACCCAUCGUACCAGCCAACGGCGGAGAAUCUCUACGGGCUGGGGGCCGCCGAUCACCAGGCGGCCAUGGGGCUCGGCGUUGGAGUGGGAGUUGGUGCCGGAAUGGGCGAUCUAAGCGGUUGGGGAGCGGCGCCUUCGGUUCCUGGCCAGGCAGCGGCUUAUCCCGGAGCCGGACUGGGCGCCUAUGGUCAUCCGCAAGCGGCUCCACCAGCGCAGCAACAGCGUCAGAGCAACGCCAGCGCAUACCGUCAACAUAUGCCCGCCUAUGGACAACAGGAGCAGCAGAAACUGGCUUCAUACGGCGCGCAACAGAGCAUGAUGGCGGGAUACGGUUCGCUGGCGCCCCAGCAGCAACAGCAGCAGCAACCGCCCACACCACAGCAGCAGCAGCAAGCACAGCAGGUGCAACAGCAGGCGCAGCAACAGCAACAACAGCAGCAGCAGCAGAGUCAGCAGCAGGCUCGACUGCCGCAGCAUUAUCCGCAAACUCCUGGUCAGCAUCCGUUGUAUCCUGGAGUGGGAGCACCCACCGUCCAGGCGGGACAACCUCCCACGCCCCAGGCAUAUACUCAUAGUCCGUACGGAAGUCCCAUGCAACACCAACCGAGCAGAGGAGCUCCCCAGCAUGUGGGCUACGGGCAUACAGGACUGGAUCAGGCUUCUGCUUACGGACAGCAUGUGCCGGGAGGAGCGCCACCGGGUCACCAUUUGACGGCGCAGCAGCAGCAGGCUGCGCAGCAAUUGGGUGCCCACCAGCAGCAACAGCUGCAAUCGCAGCAGCAACAGCAGCAGCAACCUCACGUUUCGCUAAUGCAGCAGCAGCAGUUGCCGGGUGCUGGAUUGCCGCCACCGCACAUGGGAAUGCCUCCUAGUUACGGAAGCCACCAUCAACAGCAACAGCAGCAACAACAGACCCAGCAGCAACAGCAGCAGGCAGCGCCGCCUUACAUGUCCAGCAGCAAGCAUCAACAGGCGGCUGCCCAGCUGAAUUCCUCGCCCCAGUAUCGUGCACCUUUCCCUCAGCUUUCGCCACAAAUGUCGCCACGUCCUCCGACAAUGUCGCCACAUCCGCAAAUGUCUCCGCGACCAGUUGGCGUGUCGCCGGCGAAACCACCGCCCCCUCAACAGCAGCAGCAACAAACGCAAGCGCAGCAGCCGCAACAGGUUGUAAGCAAUCAGCCCAGCCAGCACAGCAUUCAAGGCAUGGUAGGCUUGCCUUCGCCGCGCCCACAGCCGCCCACAAGUGGAGCAGGUGGAGCGGGAGCGAAGGGUCCUGCGCCAGUUGCUGCCCCCGUAAACACAUUACAGGCCCUCGAACAAAUGGUGAUGCCGUCACAGGCUCUCGGGCUACCACCCAUGGACUACCCAUCGGCAUACAGGAGUGCUGUGGGUCCUAGGAUGCCAGCUUCCCCUCAGCAGCAACAGCAACAGCAACAACAUCAGCAAUGGGGUGCGGCCCAUGGAGCACAGCACUUGGCGGCCCUGCAGCAGCAGCAGGCCCAACAGCAACAACAACAGCAGGUACAACAGCAGCAACAAGCACCUCCGCAGCAGCAGCAGGCGGCAAUGUUGCAGGCGCAGCAGCAACAUCACCAGCAGCAGUUAAGUAUGUAUGGUCAGACGAUGGGACAGCAACAGCAGACACAAACCGCGCAGCAACAAGUUGUGCCACCGGUGACUUCACAACCGCCAGUGGUGGCCGCCUCUCAGCAGCAGCAACAACACCAGCAGCAGUCACUCAAUGAUCAAUUGCAGCAUUCGAUCAACGAUAUUGUUGGGGGUGGGAACAGUAGUGGAGCAACAGGAGGUGCUCAGAAUCAGCACCAGCAGCAACCCCAACUGGCGGCCAUGUCUUCGCCGUUGCAUCAGCAAAACCUGCCCAACAUGCACCAUUUAAUCCAACCUACCAUGGAGCCAACACAGCCGACGCAGCAGCAACAGCAAACGACACAACAACAGCAGCAGCAACCACAGCAACAGCAACCGCAGGCGACUUUAACAUCGCCGCACCACCAGCAAAUGCAGCAUCAGUCCCCCAUACACCAGCAGCAACAGCAACAGUCACCGCAUCACCAGCCACAUCUACCUAGCUACAAUCAGUCGCAGCAGCAAUUCGAUCCCUUUGCUAACAUACUAGGAGACAAUCAACCACCUGCAUCCCAACAGACAAUGUCGCCCGCUCAUGUAAGUUCGCCGGUACCCGCGCAAAUGCAACAGCAGCAGCAACAUCAGACCCAACAGCAGCCAUCCCAACAAGUACCACAAAGCCAGCAACAACAGGUGUCGCAGCCACAACAGCAAACGCAGCAGCAACAACCCUCGACCCCAUCACAUCACCUGAGCAGCAUCCUCAAUGAAACAGCAAACUCGAAUGAUUCCUCCACUUUGGCAGUGGCUGCCAAUGACAGCAACAACAGCAGUAGCAAUAGUAGCACCAAUAGCAUUGUCAACAACCAGCCCACAUCGGUGCACGACAGCAAUUCGCAGAGCAGCAUUAACAGCAGCAGCAACAACCAGCAACAGUUGCUCAUGGACAACACGAAUUCACACGGAGGAAAUUCGGAAUCGGCCCAGAAUGUUGGAGUGGAUGUUGGUCUUUUUGAUAACAACUCGAUGUCCUCAACGUCAGCAGCAGUUGCUGCCGUGGCCUCCAAUGCAGCUUCUGCAGCAGCAGCACUUUUGGACAGCAAUUCUCAGUCGUCGAAUGCGGAGUUUGAGAAGAAUCAAAGCGAAGGUGAAGGACUCGGCGUUGUAGAAGGAGUUAUUGCCAAUGAAACUGAGAUUCCACAGGAUGAGAACAGCGUUUCCAAAACUCAAGACAUAACUCUAAGCACGGAAUUGCCAGCAAUCCAAGACGAUCUACAAGAUAAGCCCACCGCUGAGAUAGAACAAACUCAACUGGGACAAUCUUUAGGUGAUUUGACUACAUCUUUGUUGGAGGAACCUAAAUUGGUGGAAGAAUCCGGUGAGGAUAAAUCUCAAUCGGCAACUGGAGUUGCACCUCCAGCAGAUCCUGCUACCCCUGUUACACAACCGUCUCAGCAACAGAUGCCUCCCAUUGGGAUGCCCAUGCAUCCUAUCGCCCCCGGGUAUGAAGGCCAGACUCAGGGACAAGGUCACAUGCCGCCCAUGAUGCCUCCGUAUGGAGGAGCGCCAGGGAUGUAUCCACCUUAUCCCAUGCUGCAUCAACAAGAAAUUGCUGCACUGCAGCAGCAGAUACAGGAACUGUAUUGCAUGCCUCCCGGGCACGAGCAUCAACACCAAGAUAAGUUAAUGCGAAUGCAGGAGCGAUUAAAUCUUCUCACGCAGCACGAGAUAAACGAUCAGUGUGCUGGCGGUCCGCAGUGCUUACUGUUCCAAAACGUUCCGCCCAUGUAUGGACCACCAGGGAAUCCUCUGCUCAACCAGCAAAUGGUAGAGAGCCCUCAAGUAUCCAGCACCACUGGAAGAGGACGAGGCAAGGGAGCCAACAAGCCACGCAAGCCUCGCGCCAAGAAGGGUGAAAAAGGUCAGGUGGGUCAGCAGCAAGACCUGAUGGAUACCAGCGGGAAUGUGGCAAUGGGAGCAGCAAACGCCGUUUCCAGUAUCCCAACGACACAAUUACCCGUAUCUGAGGAUUGCGUGACUCAAGGAGCGGGAGAUACCAGUGUGGUCGGUAUGCUGGAGUAUAGUGAAGGGAUGGGUGAUCUUUCUCAAGAUGUGCACUCAGCCAAUGAACUCGAUACCUCGACUGAUGGCAGUGGUAAGAAGAAGAAGCCCCGCAAGCCUAGAACACCUAAGGAUCCAAAUAAACCUCCACGAGAUAGGACGCCGAAAGCAAAAAAGCCCAAGGAUCCUAAUGAUUCAAACUCUACUGAGACACCAGUAGCGGGUAAAAAGCGAGCUAGUGUUAGCAAACGCAGGAAACAGUACGGAGACGAUGGAGCUGAGCAAACGGGAGAGGGUAGCGAAGUGGAAGACAACAAGCCAUUGGUGCCAAAAGCAGGAUCCGCUGAUGGUGAAGCAGAAACAACUUCGGGAGGAACUGGAGUGGAUGGAGAAUCUCCAGACUACGAUGACAUUCCCGUCUCUAAAAUUCCGCGUGCCGCCAAUGAAGAUGAAAAGGAAGCCGAGGCCGGCGAUGAAACAGUAGACUCUGUUCCAGACUCGGCUGGUGAUCCUGCAUCUACACCGAGCAGAAGAGAUCGCAAACGAUCCACUGCAAGGAGUCGACGCAAUGCAAACUCUGAGGAGGGAGGCAGUGCUCGCAAGAACCGUGGUUCUCUCUCCGCCAAGGCACUUAAGAAGCGAAGGAAUAGGGGUCGCAUUGUACCUGAAUCCGAUGGCGAAGAUGACACCCUGGACAGAACUCCGCCUCCAUCGCCGCCACCAGACUCUGAAUUGGAUUCCAACAAGCGAAGAUCUUCAAGAAACACUCAGAGAAAGAAAUACAUCGAUGAUGUUAUGCUAAGGUUCUCCGAUGACGAAAACUCUCUGUUAGUGGCAUCUCCUGUAAAGAAGGAUAAGAAGCCAACUGCUAAUGCAAGCAAUUCCAAUGCAGGAAGUGAUGUGGAAAAAACGGAACCUCAAUCUGGUGCCGAGGGAGACGCUGGCCAGGAGGCAGGUGAAGAGAAAUCUAAUCUACCGCUGGAUGAAAGCAGUCAAUUGGAAGCCAGUUCGAGUACUUCUGCAGCAGCGGAGAAGGAGCGACAGACCUCUACAGAUGCUGCAAGUGCAUCCAUGUCUUCCAAACCCAAUUACGUGUACAUAAACACAGGCGAUGAAGACAGCAUGGUGGUUCAAUUAGUUUUGGCCAUGCGAAUGGGAAAGCGGGAACUUAUUCCGGACAAACCCAAAGAAAAAGCACCCGAACCUAAAAAAGAUGAAGAGAAAUCUGAUGAAGCAACACCUGAUAAACUUGAGGGAGAUGAAAAACCCAAGGCUGAGGAUGAACCCAAGAAAGAUUCAAUAGGCACCGAGGGAAAGCAAUCAGAAUCCUCCGAAAUGGAAGUGGACAGUAAGGAAGCAGAGCCUGAUGCUUCUAAGAAAUCUGAUGAAGACUAUAAGAACGAGGACAAAAUGGAAGUAGAUGAUGAAGCUGAAAAAUCAGAUAAAGAAAGUAAACCAGAAGAACAAUCAGAAACAGUGAAACCUGAGGAAAAAUCUGAAGCCACUGAGGAAGACAAAUCCUCCACUGUUUCAACAGGUGACCAAGACAAGGAAGCUGAGACUGUCCAGGAGAAAAUGGAUGUUGAUGAAAAGGAAGAUGAUGAAAAGUUACCUCCAUCGAAAGCAGAGGAAUCUGACGAGAAAUCCAUUGAUGACACCAAACCCGAAGAGGGUACUACAGAAAAGGAUAAGGAAAGUUUAGAAAGUGAAGGCGAAAAGGAGAGCGUCAAGGAGGGAGAAGAAUCCGUUACGGAGAAGGAAGAGAAAUCAGAAGCUGAUACGGAAAAUAAACCAGAGCCCGUCUUUAUCGAUGUGGAGGAGUACUUUGUGAAAUAUCGCAAUUUCAGUUACUUACAUUGCGAGUGGAGAACGGAAGAGGAACUACUAAAGGGUGAUCGUCGCGUAGCUGCCAAGAUUCGUCGCUUUCAGCAAAAGCAGUCUCAGCAGUUAAAUAUAUUUGAGAAUAUCGAAGACGAGCCCUUCAACCAGGACUUUACUGAAGUGGAUAGAGUGUUGGACAUGUCAGUUCAUACAGACGAAACCAGUGGAGAGACUACGAAGCACUACCUGGUCAAGUGGAAGUCACUUCCCUAUGAGGAUUGCACUUGGGAGCUUGAAGAAGAUGUAGAUAACGACAAAAUAGAGCAGUACCUGCGCUUUAACAAAAUCCCUCAAAGGAGCGAGUGGAAGUCUAAGAAACGUCCGCAUCCAGAAUUGUGGAAAAAGCUGGAGAAGACCCCCGUCUAUAAGGGAGGAAAUAGCCUGAGACCCUAUCAACUUGAGGGUCUUAACUGGUUAAAGUUUUCUUGGUACAACACCCACAACUGCAUCCUCGCUGACGAAAUGGGUCUUGGAAAAACUAUUCAAAGUUUGACAUUUGUGCACUCUGUAUAUGAGUACGGAAUCAGAGGACCUUUCUUGGUAAUAGCUCCUCUUUCUACAAUUCCAAACUGGCAACGAGAGUUCGAGGGCUGGACCGAUAUGAAUGUGGUUGUUUAUCACGGCUCGGUGACAAGCAAACAAAUGAUACAGGACUAUGAAUAUUACUAUAAGACAGAAAGUGGAAAGGUAUUGAAGGAACCCAUUAAGUUUAACGUUUUGAUUACCACUUUUGAGAUGAUUGUGACGGACUACAUGGACUUAAAAGCGUUUAACUGGCGCCUUUGUGUGAUUGAUGAAGCACAUCGUCUUAAGAAUAGAAAUUGCAAGCUCCUUGAAGGUCUGCGGCAGCUGAAUUUGGAACACCGAGUAUUGCUCUCGGGAACUCCCCUACAAAACAACAUCAGCGAGCUGUUCUCGCUGUUAAACUUCCUGGAACCCUCGCAGUUCUCCUCACAGGAAGAGUUCAUGUCUGAGUUUGGAAGUCUGCGCACUGAAGAAGAGGUCAAUAAACUGCAAGCUUUACUAAAACCAAUGAUGCUACGUCGUCUAAAAGACGAUGUGGAGAAAAGUUUGGCGCCCAAGGAAGAAACCAUUAUCGAAGUGGAGCUAACUAACAUACAAAAGAAAUACUAUCGAGGUAUUCUGGAACAAAACUUUAGUUUCCUGAAAAAGGGGACCACUUCUGCUAAUAUCCCAAACCUUAUGAACACCAUGAUGGAGUUGAGGAAGUGCUGCAUACACCCUUAUCUCUUGAAUGGAGCGGAGGAACAAAUCCAAUAUGAUUUCAAGUCACAGCAUGGCGAAGAUCCUGAGUCCUAUUAUAAAAAUCUGAUUCUCUCAGCUGGUAAAAUGGUUUUGAUUGAUAAAUUGCUACCCAAACUGAAAGCAAACGGCCAUCGCGUUCUUAUAUUCAGUCAGAUGGUACGUUGUUUGGAUAUCCUUGAAGAUUAUCUGGUGUACAGAAAGUACCCCUUUGAGCGAAUCGAUGGGCGCAUUCGCGGUAAUCUCCGCCAGGAGGCCAUCGAUCGUUACUCCAAGCCAGGCUCCGAUCGUUUUGUAUUUCUUCUCUGCACCAAAGCUGGAGGAUUGGGCAUUAAUUUAACAGCUGCCGAUACUGUCAUAAUUUACGAUUCAGAUUGGAAUCCACAAAACGAUUUGCAGGCUCAGGCCCGAUGCCAUCGUAUUGGCCAAAGAAAGAUGGUAAAGAUUUACCGAUUGCUCUGCAGGAAUACCUAUGAGCGUGAAAUGUUCGACAAGGCCUCAAUGAAACUAGGAUUGGACAAGGCUGUAUUGCAGUCGAUGAACACCCAAGGAUCUAAGGAUGGCAAUAACAAGCAGCUGUCCAAAAAGGAAAUCGAAGAUCUCUUAAAAAAGGGUGCUUACGGGGCCGUCAUGGAUGACGACAAUGCUGGUGACAAGUUUUGCGAAGAGGACAUCGAUUCAAUCCUCAAGCGACGCACUCAAGUCAUCACAAUGGAAUCGGAGAAGGGUUCGACCUUCUCGAAGGCUUCAUUUGCUGCCUCCGGUAACCGGUCGGAUAUUACCAUAGAUGAUCCUGACUUUUGGACCAAGUGGGCCAAAAAGGUUGACAUUGAUCCCGAUGCUUGCGAACGAGAUGAAACGGAGGAUUUGGUUUUGUCCGAGCCCAGAAGACGCACCCAAAUCAAACGCUACGGCCACGAGGAUGUGAUGGAAAUCAAUUCCGAGGAAUCUUCCAAUGAGAAUAGCGACGAAGAGGGAGGAAUAGGUCUCCGUUCCCGUCGCCGCAAGGAGAAACGAGAUCGUGCUCGCGAAAAGAAGGGCAACGAUGAAUACAUUCCACGAGAACGGGAUGCCUUGGCUGCUUUGGGCUUGGAGGAAAUUCAAUACGGUAACUGGGCCAAGUCCGAGUGCUUCAAAGUGGAGAAGGGACUGCUUUCCUUUGGCUGGGGCCGGUGGUCGGAACUUUUGGAGCUAGGCCAAUUCAAACGAGGUUGGCGUGAUGUAGACGUCGAGGAUUGUGCUCGCAUCAUUCUCCUUUACUGCCUGCAGGUCUACAAGGGAGACGAGAAGAUCAAGACGUUCAUCUGGGACUUGAUAACACCAACGGAGGACGGAGAGGUGCAGAAGAUUAGCAGGGAUCAUAGUGGCCUACACAACUUGGUGCCACGAGGCCGCAACGGUGGAAAGUCAAACAAGGAAUCCACGGGAAUGUCUACUCCCGCUCCGGGCUCCGCAUCCGGAAGCAAUAGUGGAAACACGACUCCGGCUCACAAGUCCAGUGCACUGGAUGGGUCCGAUAAGGAUGGCGGCGGCAUAAAUGCCAGCGCCGUGGCCGCGGCGGUCACCAGCAUUCACGAUCCAAAUCACUGGAGCAAGAAGGAAAAGUACGAUGCUGAUGCGUACUUGGAAGGCGCCUACAAAAAGCAUUUGGGCAGACACGCCAAUAAAGUUUUGCUGCGCGUGCGGAUGCUCUAUUAUAUUCAACAUGAAGUCAUAGGCGACUUCGUUCAGCAGAUAAAGGACAACACGCCUAUCAGCGAACUCCCCAUUCGCCCGCCGCCAACGCCAGAUCAAGUGCCAUCUUCAUGGUGGAAUCCCAUUUGUUGUGAUAAGAGCUUGUUGGUGGGAACCUACAAGCAUGGCUGUGAAAUGUAUCGUCAAAUGCGCGCCGAUCCCAAUCUGUGCUUUGUCACCCAUGUGGGCGCCGGUGCGGCCGGUGACGAUCUCGCUGUCACGAAUUUGCCGAUAAACGAGGACGAUGCAAAUUCGAAGCACGAUGAUGGCGACGAGGUGGACGACGACGGCACUACUACGACCAAAGACUCUGACUCUACCAAACUCACCGGGGGCGAUAACAAGGACUCGCUUCUCGACCCGGAGCGCCCCAGUUCGUCUGGUAAGAGCAGCAGUGAAAAUGGCAACGGCGGCAACGACAAAACGGAAAGCGAAAAAGAUGCUACAUCCGUUACCGAAUCCUCAUCCAAAUCCGAAGUCUUGCCGGGCAAGGGCAGCGAUCUCGAUGUGCCGGUCGCCCAGCAGAACGCAUCAUCAGCAACUCCUAAAUCGGCCAAUCAGACAUCAGAUCCCAAAAUGAAUAAAAAUGACGCGCAAGUCUCAGCCUCUGUUUCCUGCGAUCCGGUCGACUCUAGUUCGGCGGAGGUGUCAGGAAAAGUUCAGGGAACGGGGGCCAAGACUGGCGAUGCCGGCGAAUUGGACAUCGAAUCGGAGAACAAAGAAAAAGAAAACGAAAAGGAAACCAAGGAGUCAACUGCUGAUGCUCCUGCUGCGGAAGCCAAAAAAGAUGGCGCUGCCAUUGCCCGAGCUGAAGGCGAUAAAACGGAAUCAUGCACUAACAAUGCUACCACAAACAUCUCCACCACCACCACCACUACUACUACUACCAUUACCAAUACCACCACCACCAAUAAUCCAUCAUCCAAAGCGGCUAACUCUAACAACACCACCGACCAUGCUAACUCCAACUCACAUUUAGGCUUGGACGAGGAGGAGAGCGUCGCCGGCAGCUAUCCGCCAACCGUGGCAGCCGUCGAGGACGCCACUACUAUGUGGCCAUCUAUGCAGGACCUCAACACGCGUCUCCGCCGUGUGAUCACCGCCUAUCAAAGGAAUUACAAGAAGGAGGAACUCAAACUGCAACAGAAGGCCAAGCUCCAGGCAUUGGUUUCAUCGACACCCCCACUGUCGGUGCCCACAACUCCCACCCUUCAGUCUAUGCAAAUGCAACUGCAGAGCGGCUCCGGCGGCAGUGGCUCCGGACUAGGAUCCUCUGGUCAGCACGAUGCCAGUGGCCGGAAUCUUCAGGCGUUGAUGCAAUCGCAGGGGGCCAGCACAUCCGCAGCAGCGGCCGCCGCCGCCUCAGGUGCUGGAGGAUCCUGUAGUGGAUCCGGCCAGGUGGGCAUGGGCGGAGCGGGAGUCAUGCCAGCUAUGCCAACCGCCGCCGACAUAAGCCUGAUGCUUAGCAUACUCAACACCACAGAUGUCAACCAGCUGGCCAACUUGGACAUCAAUAAAUUGGCCAUGUACCUGGUCAGCAUGAACAAAUAAAAUGGAGCGGCAGGGAAAGAUGGAACUCGCGGCGAAGGAGCGCGAGUCCCAACGUCUUCAGCUCAUCCCAAAGAAAUGGAACCGCCGCGAAGAAUACGAAUUUCUUAGAGUUCUCACUGGUUAUGGUGUCGACCUGCACCUCUCCACACCAAUGGGUUCCUCUAAUGGAAGUUCCCAUUCGCCCGACUGGACCAAGUUCAAGCAGAUGGCUCACCUAGAGAGAAAGAGUGAUGAAACACUGACCGACUACUAUAAGGUAUUUGUGGCAAUGUGCAAACGACAGGCGGGCUUGAAGCUCCUUGAAUCGGAGCGCGGACUAGAAGGCAUUAUCGAAGAAAUCGAGAAGGAGCACGCCAAGCUUAUACUGGAUCGCCUGGAAGUACUUGCCAAGUUGCGAGAAGUGGCUCGUAAUCCCAUGCUCGAGGAGCGCCUAAAACUCUGCACCAAGAAUGCGGAUACCCCCGAUUGGUGGGAGCCUGGUCGACACGACAAGGAAUUGAUCACCGCCGUCCUCAAGCACGGACUUUAUCGCUCCGAAACCUUUAUCUUCAAUGAUCCAAACUUCAGUUUUGGAGAGUCUGAGAAGCGUUUCAUUCGGGAACUAGAAGCUCAGAUUCAGCGUACUAUCAAACUGGAGGCUUUUAAUGCUGAAAAGGCCGAAAAGUUAGCGGCAGCUGAGAAAGCUGCUGCAACGGAAAAAGCUGCUGCAACUGAAAAGGCGGGAGCAGAAAAGGCAGCUUCCGUUAAGAAUGAAGUCAUAGACCUAGAUGAUGAGCUCAUGACUAAUGACAGUGUCAUCAAGAAAGAGUCGCCAGCUUCUCCCAUAAAGGAUGAAGUAAAAGCUGAAGAGAGUCCUGAAAAGAAGGAUACUGCUGAUAUUCCCGAAGAUAAAGCUUCAGAUUCUCAUGGGAGUACGAAGGUAGAGGAUAAAGGUGAGUCGAAUGCAGAAACUACGGAAAAAGACGCACUAGACGAAACUACAAAGUUGGAUAAGGAUAAAUCUAGCCCUGAAUCAUGUGCUCCAGAAAUUGAAGAAAGCAAACCUAGCGAAGAAAAAAUGCAAGUGGAGGAAUCGCCCGUUGCCGAAAAUGGUCAGGAGAAGGAAGGUUCGCCUGAGAAAUGCAGUGAUACAGAGGAUAAGAAAUCUUCAGAAGAAAAGCCAAGUUCCCCUGGAGCCCCUGAUGUUAAAGUGUCAGAAAUGGAGACAGAUGAUGUCGCCUCUAAUACAGAAGAAAAAUGUUCUGGGGAAUUGAAACCGCCCGAAAAGGAAUCUGAAGACAAGGUUGUUGAAAAGUCUGAUGAAGAGAAGGGUGAAAAAACAAAUGAAAAGUCUGAGGAACAGAAAGAGGAAAAAGAAAAGGUGCAAAAACCACUCAUAGAAUCGGAGGCCGCUGAUAAAUCUGAAACUGUCGUUGAACCCGAAGUAGCUGUGCCCAAAAAACCCACUGCCGACCAAGACAUUCUCGACCUGGUGGCUGGUCCUUCAGAUCCCGAUGAUGACGAGGUGAUGAAGGAAAAAGAGAAAGCAGUAGAAGAGGAAUGCAAGAAGCAGGCAGCAGAGCUUAAAGCACGCUUCCCGGAUCUGGAAGUGAUUCAACCCGCCACUGUCAAGCAGCAAAAGUUGGAUAAGCCCAAGCUUGAAAUGUGCAUGAUCCGCUGGUUCAAGGAUUUCGCCUUAGAGCGCCGUAUUGCGCACAUUGUGGCUUGCGUGGAGUCAGGAAAUUGGCCUGUGGAUAGCAAAUACAGUGCCUUUGCAUCCUGCAAGGGGGCAACUGAUCUAAGCAUUGCUCUCCACGAAUCCAUUCCCCACUUGAGCAGUUUGGACCGUCGCUCCACAACACCCGAUGUCAUUACCAUAACGACGGACCAAGGUGUCACAAAGCACUUGCAGACCUCCCACAUGCAGCAGGUGGCCAGUUCGGCGUCCGCUGCAUCCGUCUCCUCGGGAGCUCCCCAGGUCACCCAAUCAAAACCCUCCUCUUCCAACAGCUUACCUGGCUUGGAUGCCAAAAGCAUCAAUGCUGCGGUGGCAGCGGCCGUUGCGGCAGCUGCAGCAGGUGGAAAUGCCACCUCCCUAUCGUCUUUGCUUCCGGGAAUGUCUCUGAGUGCAGCCAGUGGCUCUUCAGCCGGUGCAGUGAGCGGAUUGAGCGUUCCAAGUGCCGGCUCUGGAGGGGGAAAGAAGCGCAAGCGACACAUAGCCAUCGACGUAGAGACGGAAAGGGCUAAGCUUCAUGCUCUGCUUAACAGCUCGACAAUGGCACCGAAGGACUGGGAGAGUGAGAUUGCAAACAUGGAGGCCUUGAGCGGCUCCUCUGGCCGUGGUCGAGGUGGUAAUUCUUCAGCUUUAAGUGGCAUGCAGCCGCCUCCAGCUCAUCAGCAUGCUUCGCUCUCGCGACAAUCCUCGGGACAGUUCAGCAAGCCAGCUGUCCCCGCCCUGAAGACUCCUCCUCCCUCAAUGGGUGCACCAAUGGACCUUUCAUCAAGCCUACCGAAAAUGAAUAUGACUGAGAUGCUUAAGUCGGCUUCCAGUGCGGGAGCCAUCGAUUUGAGUGAGGUUCAGGACUUCUCUAUGCCUUCUAAAAAAUCCAGUGUGCAUAGUGCUUUAAGUUCCGCAUUUCCCUCGAUGGGAAGCAAGAGCAAAUUAGACGACACGCUUAACAAAUUGAUGAAGAAGAACAAUUGCACCAUUGAAGAGCCUGUUAUUGGUAAGGAGAAAAAGCGAAAGAAAUUGGACGAGAUCGUGCUCGGCCUAUCGGCGGCUAAAGAGCAAAAGACCUUCCCUGACCCAUCGCUGCCGUCAUCAAAGAAACCGCAGAUCCCGCCAAGCGUAUCAGUGACGCCAGCAAACCUUCAAUCCUCGUCCAACCAGCAGUCAAACCAGAAACCCUUUACUAUCACUGUUACCACAGUGCCCGGAAAAUCAAAGGGCGGCUCGUCCAACAGCGGAUCCGGCGCCGGAGGAAGCUCGUCGGCCAGCGGCGGAGGAGCCGGCGGCAGCGGCUUGAGCGCCCUGCAGAAUAUGGCAAUGGGAGGUCUGUCAUCCAAAGACAGUCUCAAUGCCCUGUUGGCACAGACAAUGGCCACCGACCCUCAGACGUUUCUUAAGCAGCAGCAGAAGAUGAUGCAGUUCCUGCCCCCCGCUCAACGGAAAGCUUAUGAAAACAUGCUAGCGGAGAUGGAACAGGCCAUGAAGAUCAGUUCAAAGUUUUCGACAAACUCACCACACGACGUCAAGGUCAACAAGUGGCUUUCAGACAUGGCAACUCCACUGGGCGACCAGCUCAGCAUUGAUUACGUGGGAGGUGGCGGGGCAGGUGCCUCCGGAAGUGGCAAUAGUCGGCGCUCGAACCGCCAGCAAGGAAACUCACAACAAUCCUCAAGUGCAGCCCAACUGCAAAAGCAACAGCAACAACAACAACAGCAGCAGCAACAACAGCAACAUUCGAUGCCCGGCCCUCAGAAUUUGACAGGAGAGGAGCCCGUACCAGUGAUCAAUAAGCAGACUGGCAAACGCUUGGGAGGCAACAAAGCGCCGCAGCUGAAGAGACUGAUGCAAUGGCUUACGGAGAACCCCAAUUACGAAGUGGAUCCAAAGUGGCUGGAGCAGAUGCAAAAUCCCAUGUCUGCACCUUCUCCAAAGCCGUCAUCAAUGGAGAGCAGCUACGGCUCUUCGGCAGUGAAAUCGCAUGGAGGUCGCCCGUCAUCUAAUUCGAGUAACACCUCAUCAUCGUCCCAUACCCAGCAACAUCAGCAAACGUCUGCAGCUCAAUCGCCAGCGGGAGGGAACUCAGGCAGCUCCAAGAAAACAUCCCGCCAAACAGCGGCAUCACAACUGGAUCAAGCUGCGUUACAAUUUAACUCCUUAGCCGGUCUAAAUCCCAGUCUUUUGGCUAAUCUUCCUGGACUGGGCGCAUUUGACCCCAAGAAUCCUCUGGCUGCAUUUGAUCCAAAGAAUCCGUUGCUAUCCAUGUCAUUUGGAGGAAUGCCCGGAAUGGGAAAUAUUCCUGGAUUAGGUAACCUGAACAACAUGAACCUUUUCGCCAGUUUGGCUGGAAUGGGAGGAUUGGGUAAUCUGGCGGGUAUGGAUACUCAGUCGCUGGCUGCGCUCAUGGCUGCUGCCGGGCCAACUCUUGGCGGAUUAGGUGGUGCAUCCGGAGGAGCGGGCUCCGGCAAGAGCCAGGCGCAGUCGCAAUCAUCCGCCACUUCGUCCUCCUCUUCGGCUAGUAAAAAGAAGCAGCAGCAACAGCAACAACAGGCGCAAAACGAAGCUGCUCAAUUGGCAGCUGCUAUCAGCGCUAGCACUGGAGGCUCUGGCGCAUCAGGUGGAAAGAACGCAGCGGCUUCUGCAUCACAAUUGGCGGCAGGAUUUCCAUUCCUAUUUCCGAAUCCGUCACUGCUGUAUCCACCCAUGGGACUAGGUGGUCUGAAUCCGUAUUCCCUAGGAUCCAGUGGACUUGGUUCUGCAUACGAUCAAUUGGCUCAGCAGUAUAACCUGCUAAAUGGGGCCACUUCAUCCGCCUCAAAUACGAGCUCUACGCAGUCUAAGUCGCAUCAGUCACAAUCGAAAUCCAGUCAGUCCAGGAAUACCGCAGCAUCUGCCAACUCAGCAGCGAGUCUGAUGAAUGCAAUGGCCAGCAUGGGUGGUGGAGCUAGUACAGUAACCACGCCUUCUACUUCAACAUCAGGAUCCGGACGUGGCAGGCAAUCGAGCAGCAGAAAUCAAUCCCAAACCACACCCACAGCAGCAGACAUGGCCCAACUCAGUAGUCUACUUAUGCCAGGAGCGGAUCCACAUCUCCUCGAGUCGCUGAGCCGUAUGAGCAACAUGGAUUUGGCACAGGCAACGCGACUGAUGAGCUCCCUCGGAAUGCCGCCUCUUCCAGGAACCCCGAGCUCUUCUGGUGGGGGUAACACAUCUUCAAGCAAGAGAAGCAGCCAAGCCGCAAGUGAAGCCAACGCUCAGGCUAAGGAACAGCAGAAAUGGUUUGAAAGUCUAGCCCGCGGAGCUCUGCCAACUGACUUAGCCGCGCUCCAAGCUUUCUCGCAAGGCAAAAUGCCGUCAACAUCCGGAUCAAAUACGGGCACAUCCACUUCCUCCAGUAAGAGCUCGAAAGCAGCUGCGGCUGCGGCUGCUGCGGCAGCUCAAUUGCCACAAAUUCCUAGUGACUUCUCUCAGGCCUUUUUGGCUGAAAUGGCUGCACAGGCAAUGGCGGCUGCUGGCGGAUCCCUACCUCUGAGUGGUCCUGGAUCAUUAGCUAGUUUGGCUGGCUUAACUGGUGGCUCGGCUGGAGGCGGUGGUGGUUCUUCUGCCUCAGGAAGCACUAGCCACUCUUCAUCAAAACGACAGCGUGAGCAGGAUGCCUUUAAGCAACAGAUGGACUAUUAUACCAAGACCUUAGGUCUGGGAUCAGGAAUCUCGCUGAUACCUACUUCCUCAUCGGGAGGAUCAUCUGCAUCCUCAAGUUCGGCAAACGCAGCAGCGGCUGCCUAUGCUGCAGCAUUAGACGCGGAGCAACAGCAUCAACAACAGCAAAAGGCUCUUUCCAAACGAUCACGUGGCGAUAUACACCCCACAAAGGAGGAACUGGCUGCUGCUGCCCUUACUGCAGGGUUACCCCUUAAUCUUGGAGCCAGCAUGAGUAGCAUAGAAAAGAGUCUAAGAGGCGGAAGCAGCUCCAGUAGCAGUUCGACGCCAGCACCUAUGUCUGCGGAACAGGAUAAAGUAACGUUGACUCCCCUUAAUGCCUCUGGAGGUGGGUCAGGCUCUUCUUCCAGUUCAGCAGCUGCUGCGGGACUGGCAGCUAAUCUGCCCAGUCAAACUACAAUAACCAUAGCUCCUCCCAUUAGCAGUGGAGCCAGCACUAGCAGCGAGCGUUCUGAGCGCUCCGAGUCGCGCAUUUCGCUAACCAUAACAAAUGCAGCGGAUGCAGCGAAACUACCACCGCCCUACGAAGAAGCCGAUGAGCUAAUUAUACAACCCAUACUCAAAAAGCCUUCGGCUGCCAAUCCAGGCAGUAGUCAUGGCGGCAGCGUAGACGAUCUGGAUACAGCGGACAAUGCUUCAGCUGCUAAUCUGAGUGGUUCAUCGUCCAGUUCUGCGGCAGCUGCAGCGGCGGCUGCAGCCGCGGCUGAAGAGAAUCGACGAUCCUCCAACCGAUUGAAGCGUCCGAGGUCUGGCAACGAACAAGGAUCUGGUUCCGUGGAAGGACAACCGCCUGAGAAGCGACGGGAGUUGCGAUCCACUCGUCAUACACGCUCUUCGGCAGAUGCCAGUACGCUUAAUCUUUCCACUGGCAGCGAAUCGGGAGCGGAGGAACGGAACGAAUGAGUAUUGCGCAGAUCCGAGCGCCAGCGCUAGCAGAAUGACACGGCCCAUCCUAAGGGCCGGAGAAAAUCACGUAGAGGAGGAGCCAACACGGCCCAUACAUACAAGUCACCGGAGCAGAAAAUCAACGACAGAAAGAUGAUGAGAAACCAGCUGCAGAUGCGGAUGCAAACAAGAUCGAGGCGAAAAUUAAAUGCUAAGUUAACUGUUACCACUAGAUCCCUUAAGCUUAAAGUUGUGUAAAGUAUAAGAACCUUAUAUAAUCUAUAUAUAGAGAUUAGGAGCCAAUUUAGAGAGAAUGGAUUUGGGUUUGUCUCAACGCUAUACAGUUCGACACUGCUGCAACUCCGUCUGAACUGGAGGGCAGAGGACCGUACCCAUGGCUUACUCAAGUUUCAUUUGCUGCUUAUAUGGUCCUUGUUAAGUCAAUAUUUUCCCUUUCUUUGGCUGCUUAAUUAUUCAUAUAAUUACGAACAUAAUUAAAAAGCGCUUAUAAUUUAA
rnacentral:misc_RNA from 1 species